CAGAGGGUGCGAGCGUUAAUCGGAAUUACUGGGCGUAAAGCGUGCGUAGACGGUUAUUUAAGUCGGGUGUGAAAGCCCCGGGCUCAACCUGGGAAUUGCAUUCGAGACUGAAUAGCUAGGGUACGGUAGAGGGAAGCGGAAUUUCCGGUGUAGCGGCGAAAUGCGUAGAUAUCGGAAGGAACAUCAGUGGCGAAAGCGGCUUCCUGGACCAGUACCGACGUUCAGGCACGAAAGCGUGGGGAGCAAACAGGAUUAGAUACCCUGGUAGUCCACGCCAUAAACGAUGAGGACUAGACGUUGGAGGGGUAAGCCUUUCAGUGUCGUAGCUAACGCGCUAAGUCCUCCGCCUGGGGAGUACGGCCGCAAGGUUG
rnacentral:rRNA from 1 species